GUGGUGUACGACGUGGCCGAUCAGUCCGUGCUGGUGACGCGGACGAAGGACGGUUCGAUCCGGGCGUAUCACA
rnacentral:tRNA from 1 species